rnacentral:snoRNA from 1 species
CUUUUGAGAUGAGUCCAGCAAAAUCAAGCAUAGUUCACACUGAACUAUCAUGUUGACAAACAUGCAUCUAAUGUCUUUCGCUCCUAUCUGAUUCGAUGU